GAGUUUGAUCAUGGCGUCAGAUUGAACGCUGGCGGCAUGCUUUACACAUGCAAGUCGAACGGCAGCACGGGCUUCGGCCUGGUGGCGAGUGGCGAACGGGUGAGUAAUGCAUCGGAACGUACCGUGUAAUGGGGGAUAACGUAGCGAAAGUUACGCUAAUACCGCAUACGCCCUGAGGGGGAAAGUGGGGGACCGCAAGGCCUCACGUUAUACGAGCGGCCGAUGUCGGAUUAGCUAGUUGGUGGGGUAAAGGCCUACCAGGGCGACGAUCCGUAGCGGGUCUGAGAGGAUGAUCCGCCACACUGGGACUGAGACACGGCCCAGACUCCUACGGGAGGCAGCAGUGGGGAAUUUUGGACAAUGGGCGCAAGCCUGAUCCAGCCAUGCCGCGUGAGUGAAGAAGGCCUUCGGGUUGUAAAGCUCUUUCAGGUGGAAAGAAAUCGGCGGGGUGAAUACCCCCGCUGGAUGACGGUACCAUCAGAAGAAGCACCGGCUAACUACGUG
rnacentral:rRNA from 1 species